rnacentral:rRNA from 1 species
AUGGGCCUGGAUGAGAAGAGCGUGGCCAUCGUGGGCGCCGGCGUGAGUGGCCUGGCGGCGUGCAAGCACCUGCUGGAGCGCGGCUGCCGGCCGGUGGUCUUUGAUGCGGGCGACGCCGUCGGGGGCGUGUGGCCGAACGCCAUGGAGGGGACCAGGCUCCAGGCGCCACGGCACAUGUAUCGCUACUCCGACUUCCCCUGGCCGGACUCCGUGACGGAGAUGUUCCCCAACCAGCGCCAGGUCGCCGACUACCUCCACGCCUACGCGCGCCGCUUCGGCGUGCUCGACUGCGUCAGGCUCGGCCACCGCGUGACCAGCAUGGAGUACGUCGGCGUCGCAGAGGAGGAGGUGGUGGCGUGGGAGGAGUGGGCCGGCUGCGGCCAGGCGUUCGGCUCCGGCGACGGGGAGUGGCGCCUCACGGUGGCCGACGACGAAGGUCACAUAGAGGUACACAUGGUAGACUUUGUGAUUCUUUGUACGGGAAGGUUUAGCAAUUAUCCCAACAUACCCAAUUUCCCUCCUGGUAGAGGCCCAGAAGCAUUUGAUGGGAAAGUGAUCCACUCCAUGGACUACUCCAAAAUGGGUAGUGAGAAAGCUAAGGAGAUGAUCAAGGACAAGUGUGUGACUGUCGUUGGCUAUGGAAAUUCAGCCCUUGACAUUGCUAAUGAAUGCGCAAAAGUAAACGGUAAAAAUAUUCAAUCCUCAAUUAAACAUACCUUGUUUCUCCUUGUUAGUGAAACUGAAACAUUAUUAUGUCCAUUUUGUUAA